rnacentral:rRNA from 1 species
CUAAGUUUGAUGGCGACCGGCGCACGGGUGAGUAACACGUAUCCAACCUGCCGAUGACUCGGGGAUAGCCUUUCGAAAGAAAGAUUAAUACCCGAUGGCAUAGUUCUUCCGCAUGGUAGAACUAUUAAAGAAUUUCGGUCAUCGAUGGGGAUGCGUUCCAUUAGGUUGUUGGCGGGGUAACGGCCCACCAAGCCUUCGAUGGAUAGGGGUUCUGAGAGGAAGGUCCCCCACAUUGGAACUGUGACACGGUCCAAACUCCUACGGGAGGCAGCAUG